AAAUACAACAGGAACUAAAAACUGCUCGUAUGCUAUCAAAAGAACACAAAGAAACUGUUGAUAAACUUAGAGAAAAAAUUUCAGAAAAGACAAUUCAAAUUUCAGACAUUCAAAAGGAUUUAGAUAAAUCAAAAGAUGAAUUACAGAAAAAGACCGACAGAACCACCAAGUAAAACCUGAAAAAAGGUUACUAAGUGAUGGACAACAGCACCUUACGGAAAGCCUGAGAGA
rnacentral:lncRNA from 1 species